rnacentral:rRNA from 1 species
GACGAACGCUGGCGGCGUGCCUAAUACAUGCAAGUCGAGCGAGCGGAACCAACAGAUUUACUUCGGUAAUGACGUUGGGAAAGCGAGCGGCGGAUGGGUGAGUAACACGUGGGGAACCUGCCCCUAAGUCUGGGAUACCAUUUGGAAACAGGUGCUAAUACCGGAUAAUAAAGCAGAUCGCAUGAUCAGCUUUUGAAAGGCGGCGUAAGCUGUCGCUAAGGGAUGGCCCCGCGGUGCAUUAGCUAGUUGGUAAGGUAACGGCUUACCAAGGCGACGAUGCAUAGCCGAGUUGAGAGACUGAUCGGCCACAUUGGGACUGAGACACGGCCCAAAACUCCUACGGGAGGCAGCAGUAGGGAAUCUUCCACAAUGGACGAAAGUCUGAUGGAGCAACGCCGCGUGAAUGAAGAAGGCCUUCGGGUCGUAAAAGUUCUGUUGUCAGAGAAGAACGUGCGUGAGAGUAACUGUUCACGUAUUGACGGUAUCUGACCAGAAAG